AUUGAACGCUGGCGGCAGGCCUAACACAUGCAAGUCGAGCGGUAGAGAGGUGCUUGCAUCUCUUGAGAGCGGCGGACGGGUGAGUAAUGCCUAGGAAUCUGCCUAGUGGUGGGGGGAUAACGUUCGGAAACGGACGCUAAUACCGCAUACGUCCUACGGGAGAAAGCGGGGGAUCUUCGGACCUCGCGCCAUUAGAUGAGCCUAGGUCGGAUUAGCUAGUUGGUGAGGUAAUGGCUCACCAAGGCGACGAUCCGUAACUGGUCUGAGAGGAUGAUCAGUCACACUGGAACUGAGACACGGUCCAGACUCCUACGGGAGGCAGCAGUGGGGAAUAUUGGACAAUGGGCGAAAGCCUGAUCCAGCCAUGCCGCGUGUGUGAAGAAAGGUCUUCGGAUUGUAAAGCACUUUAAGUUGGGAGGAAGGGUAGGUAACCUAA
rnacentral:rRNA from 1 species